CUUCUCUUGUAGGAGAGGGAGCCCACAUUGCUCCAGUUUUUUUUUUUUUCCCCCCUGGAAACAAGAGAACAGAAAAUUCCAGCUGAAAGUCUCAUUCCCUCCUCCUUGGUAGUUUGGGGCUGGGCCCGCAGUUCCUCUCUGCAGAAGAGGAACCCAUGAGUGCAUGCCAUUCUCUUGGGAGAGAGGCGCUGGCCUCUGGCAUUCCUCUCGUGGGCGGGGAGGCUGAUACUUCCUGCACACAGGGAGGCUGGUUCUCUAGUGCGUGAAAGAGGAAGAAGCCCUCAAAUGGAAGAGACCUGAAAGGAGCAAGAAACUCUAGCUCCUGGGGAAACCUGGAGCCUAAGGCGGCCUUGGGAAGGGGUCCAGAGAAGUGGCUCCUGGAGCUACCACUGCUGAUCUUUUUGAAUGUGGCUACCAGAGAAGUUAAGUUUGUGCAUGUGGUUUGCAUUUAUUUCUGUUGGACUGGGCUGCGCUGGAGGGUCUAUAUCUGGGGCUGGGGACAGACCUGCAGGAGUCUGGGCAAAUUUUAAACUGGUUUUCCUCUAGUUGAAAAAUUUUUUUUUUAAGAAAAUGCAUCGCUGUGGCCAGCAUGUAGCACAGAGGUUAAGCAGCUGUCUGAAUGUCGGAAUCCCAUAUGGGCACCAGUACUCAUUACGGCUGCUCUGCUUCCUAUCCAGCUCCCUGGUAAUGCACCUGCGGAAGCAGUAGAGGAUGACCCAAGUGCGUGGGCUCCUGAAUCCACAUGGGAGACCCGGAUGAAGAUCUUGGCUCUUGGCUUUGGCCUGGCCCAACCCCAGCUGUUGUGGUCAUUUGUGGAAUGAAUCAGUGGAUCAAACAUCAGGAAUCCAUGGGGACAGGGGAUUCUGUCACAUUGCAGACCAAGACACGGACCCGUAAAUAUGGAGGAGGUCCCCUGAGAGACUGGAGCUUACUGUUUCUUCUACAUUUACUCAAAACUCUCUGCUGUGGCCUGGGAAAGCAGUAGAAAUGGCCUUGCACCUGCGUGGGAGACCCCGAAGAAGCACCUGGCUCCUGGCUUUGGUUCAGCACAGCUCUAGCCAUUGCAACCAUCUGGGGAGUGAACCAACGGAAGGAAGACCUCUCUCUCUCUGUCUCUCCCUCUCAC